UACAGAGGGUGCAAGCGUUAAUCGGAUUUACUGGGCGUAAAGCGCGCGUAGGUGGCCAAUUGAGUCAAAUGUGAAAUCCCCGAGCUUAACUUGGGAAUUGCAUUCGAUACUGGUUGGCUAGAGUAUGGGAGAGGAUGGUAGAAUUCCAGGUGUAGCGGUGAAAUGCGUAGAGAUCUGGAGGAAUACCGAUGGCGAAGGCAGCCAUCUGGCCUAAUACUGACACUGAGGUGCGAAAGCAUGGGGAGCAAACAGG
rnacentral:rRNA from 1 species